rnacentral:rRNA from 1 species
CCUACGGGCGGCAGCAGUGGGGAAUAUUGCGCAAUGGGGGAAACCCUGAUGCAGCGACGCCGCGUGAUUGAAGAAGUAAUUCGUUAUGUAAAGCUCUUUCAGCAGGGAAGAAUUUGACGGUACCUGAGUAAGAAACCCCGGCUCACUACGUGCCAGAAGCCGCGGUAAUACGUAGGGGUGAAGCGUUAUCCGGAUUUACUGGGUGGAAAGGGAGCGUAGGCGGCGGUGCAAGCCUGGAGUGAAAGGCGGGGGCUUAACCCCCGGACUGCUCUGGAAACUGUACGGCUGGAGUGCAGGAGAGGUAAGUGGAAUUCCGAGUGUAGCGGUGAAAUGCGUAGAUAUUAGGAGGAACACCAGUGGCGAAGGCGGCUUACUGGACUGUAACUGACGUUGAGGCUCGAAAGCGUGGGGAGCAAACAGGAUUAGAUACCCCUGUAGUC